rnacentral:rRNA from 1 species
AGCGAACGCUGGCGGCAGGCCUAACACAUGCAAGUCGAGCGGGUGUAGCAAUACAUCAGCGGCAGACGGGUGAGUAACGCGUGGGAACGUACCUUUUGGUUCGGAACAACACAGGGAAACUUGUGCUAAUACCGGAUAAGCCCUUACGGGGAAAGAUUUAUCGCCGAAAGAUCGGCCCGCGUCUGAUUAGCUAGUUGGUAGGGUAACGGCCUACCAAGGCGACGAUCAGUAGCUGGUCUGAGAGGAUGAUCAGCCACAUUGGGACUGAGACACGGCCCAAACUCCUACGGGAGGCAGCAGUGGGGAAUAUUGGACAAUGGGGGCAACCCUGAUCCAGCCAUGCCGCGUGAGUGAUGAAGGCCCUAGGGUUGUAAAGCUCUUUUGUGCGGGAAGAUAAUGACGGUACCGCAAGAAUAAGCCCCGGCUAACUUCGUGCCAGCCGCCGCCGUAAAAC